rnacentral:rRNA from 1 species
UACGUAGGGCGCAAGCGUUGUCCGGAAUUAUUGGGCGUAAAGAGCUCGUAGGUGGCGUGUCGCGUCUGCCGUGAAAGCCCAUGGCUUAACUGUGGGUCUGCGGUGGAUACGGGCAGGCUGGAGGCUGGUAGGGGCAAGCGGAAUUCCUGGUGUAGCGGUGAAAUGCGCAGAUAUCAGGAGGAACACCGGUGGCGAAGGCGGAUCUCUGGGCCAUUACUGACGCUGAGGAGCGAAAGCGUGGGGAGCGAACAGG